GCCAUCCCGAGCAGAGCCAGCCAGCAUGACCGAGCGCCGCGUCCCCUUCUCGCUCCUGCGGAGCCCCAGCUGGGACCCCUUCCGCGACUGGUACCCGCACAGCCAUCUCUUCGACCAGGCCUUCGGGAUCCCCUGGCUGCCCGAGGAGUGGUCGCAGUGAUUCGGCACCAGCAGCUGGCCGGCCUAUGUGCGCCCCCUGCCCCCCGCCGUGGUCGAGGGCCCCGCGGUGGCCGUGCCCGCCUACAGCCGCGCGCUCAGCCGGCAGCUCAGCAGCGGGGUCUCGGACAUAGGGCACACGGCGGACCGCUGGCGCGUGUACCUGGACGUCAACCACUUUGCCCCUGAGGAGCUGACGGUCAAGACCAAGGAUGGCGUGGUGGAGAUCACCGGCAAGCACGAGGAGCGGCAGGAUGAGCACGGAUUCAUCUCCCGCUGCUUCACCCGGAAAUACUCGCUGCCCCCUGGUGUGGACCCCACCCAGGUCUCCUCCUCCCUGUCCCCUGAGGGCACACUGACCGUGGAGGCCCCCAUGCCCAAGCCAGCCACGCAGUCCAACGAGGUCACCAUCCCCGUCACCUUCGAGUCGCGGGCUCAGCUUGGGGGCCCAGAAAUUGCGAAAUCCGACCAGUCUGCAGCCAAGUAAAAACCUUAGCCCGGAUGCCCACCCGUGCCGCUGCCACUGGCCAUGCUCCCUCCCCACCUGUGUGUUCUUUUGAUACGUUUAUAUGUUUUUCUCAAAUAAAGUUUGAAGCAACUCCCACC